rnacentral:rRNA from 1 species
UCUACGGGAGGCAGCAGUAGGGAAUCUUCCACAAUGGGCGCAAGCCUGAUGGAGCAACACCGCGUGAGUGAAGCAGGGUUUCGGCUCGUACAGCUCUGUUGUUGGAGAAGAACGUGCGUGAGAGUAACUGUUCACGUAGUGACGGUAUCCAACCAGAAAGUCACGGCUAACUACGUGCCAGCAGCCGCUGUAAUACGUGGGUGGCAAGCGUUAUCCGGAUUUAUUGGGCGGAAAGCGAGCGCAUGCGGUUGCGUAGAUAUGAUGUGACAGCCUUCGGCUUAACCGAAGAAGUGCAUCGGAAUCCGGGCGACUUGAGUGCAGAAGAGGACAGUGGAACUCCAUGUGUAGCGGUGGAAUGCGUAGAUAUAUGGAAGAACACCAGUGGCGAAGGCGGCUGUCUGGUCUGCAACUGACGCUGAGGCUCGAAAGCAUGGGUAGCGAACAGGAUUAGAUACCCCUGGAGUC